rnacentral:rRNA from 1 species
GUACACUCCUGCGGGAGGCAGCAGUGGGGAAUUUUGGACAAUGGGCGAAAGCCUGAUCCAGCCAUGCCGCGUGCAGGAUGAAGGCCUUCGGGUUGUAAACUGCUUUUGUACGGAACGAAACGGCCUUUUCUAAUAAAGAGGGCUAAUGACGGUACCGUAAGAAUAAGCACCGGCUAACUACGUGCCAGCAGCCGCGGUAAUACGUAGGGUGCAAGCGUUAAUCGGAAUUACUGGGCGUAAAGCGUGCGCAGGCGGUUAUGUAAGACAGUUGUGAAAUCCCCGGGCUCAACCUGGGAACUGCAUCUGUGACUGCAUAGCUAGAGUACGGUAGAGGGGGAUGGAAUUCCGCGUGUAGCAGUGAAAUGCGUAGAUAUGCGGAGGAACACCGAUGGCGAAGGCAAUCCCCUGGACCUGUACUGACGCUCAUGCACGAAAGCGUGGGGAGCAAACAGGAUUAGAAACCCUUGUAGUCCCAUG